CCUACGGGUGGCAGCAGUGAGGAAUAUUGGUCAAUGGGCGCGAGCCUGAACCAGCCAAGUCGCGUGAGGGAAGACGGUCCUAUGGAUUGUAAACCUCUUUUGUCGGGGAGCAAAAGACGCCACGCGUGGCGUUCCGAGAGUACCCGAAGAACAAGCAUCGGCUAACUCCGUGCCAGCAGCCGCGGUAAUACGGAGGAUGCGAGCGUUAUCCGGAUUUAUUGGGUUUAAAGGGUGCGCAGGCGGAAGAUCAAGUCAGCGGUAAAAUUGAGAGGCUCAACCUCUUCGAGCCGUUGAAACUGGUGUUCUUGAGUGAGUGAGAAGUAGGCGGAAUGCGUGGUGUAGCGGUGAAAUGCAUAGAUAUCACGCAGAACUCCGAUUGCGAAGGUAGCAUACCGGAGCUCAACUGACGCUCAUGCACGAAAGUGUGGGUAUCGAACAGGAUUAGAUACCCUAGUAGUC
rnacentral:rRNA from 1 species